GGGCUCGUUACUGGGUCAGCGCUGUGAACCUGCACUGCAGCUCACACACCUGACCUAGAUUACACUCUGCAGAGCCUGGAUGAGCUGCAAUACAGUAUUCAGUCAGUCCCUCAACAGAGUUUGAAAAGCAGCAGAUACAGUAUACUACAGCACUGAAAGCAUACAUGAUGUGUUUGAGAUGUUUACUUCACCUGUGCAUUCAUUAUUCGAGUGGGUGCACCGGCUGUGAAAAUAUAGAUCUGUGCCUACAACCAAAACUGACCACCGCAUUAAAUAUUAAAUUGAGAAAAAGCAAAUCGCCAAAAGUAAUUACAAUUCCUAAAAAGUUGCAGCACUUACUUCAAACUUUAAUUGUCGUAUUCAAUUAAAUAAUUUAACAUACAACUUUGUCUAAUCUCUGGACGAGAAGCAAUUGAAACAUGUGUAAUUUUCAUGCUGUUUUUUUGACAGAUUGUGUGUAAAAUUAACACUGAAGAUUGGUCUGUGUUAAAAAGAAAUACUCCUCUAAAGUCAUUUUUUUCUGAUUUAGUAUUCCCUUCACUUUUCCUUUAAAUAUAUAAUACUCUUGCUCUUCAGGGCUGUGAUCCAAAAUUAAAUCAAUACGGCACUACUACAGACAGAUAUGUGAGGAGCUUUAUUUAUUCAUAGAGGAAAGAUCAGUGUAUUCUCCAGUCAUGUUGUGGCUGAACACACUAUUCUGUCUGAUCUCGACCAGAGCAGCAGACAGAUUUAUUUUGGUUGUAGAGUGGGGUUCACACGAGGGGAGAAGUGUGAUAUGUAAAAGACUGCCAGACUUGGCAGGGUGGUGUGUUGGAGAAAAGUGUAGUCUCUGGAGCUCUAUAGUAGCACCUUUUUAGUAAGGGGAAGACGUCUUAUAUCCUGUUAUAUUCAACCUCCAAUCUGUAUUUGCUUAUUUCUAUUAAUGAUUCAAGAGCAACAAAAGCUGGAGUCUCGUUCCUUGUAUGAGUUGUCUGGUGAAUGAAAAUUGCUGUGGGCAUAAUAUAAAAAAUAAAAUCAGGUCCUGUAACACUUCUAUGAACAAGAACUGAGAAAAAUAUGUUUUCAGACACUGUAAUUCUCUUUAGGAAAACCCCCAAAACUGCGUCUUCAAAAUUAAUUUUAUCCUCUUUAUACCAGAGCUUCAAUUUUCUGCAGCCUCCUUAUGUGGCCAAGAGAACAUCCCCUUUAAUAACCCGCAAUGUCUGAACUCUCAAUAUUGCUGGCUACUUAUUGGCUUGAAGAAAAUAACCAGCAAAUAAACAGAGCAUUGAUAUUUAAUAUCUGAACACAAACAAGUCAGCUGGACUAUAAACAUGCUGCUCAGUGUUUACAGUUACCCUAGUCCCUGAAAAGAAAGAAAUGAAUAAAAAGUGAAUGUUUGUUGUUACCUGCACUCGUAAAUUUAUUAACAGAUUACACUUGGGGUCAAAUCAUGCAUUUGAUCCUGAAUACAAAAGUAUAUUGACAUCAAUAGCAAAAUUAUCUAUUUAAUUUAAUGUCAAUUUUCUAAUAAUAAAAUAUUUUCAUCUUCAUCUGCAUCUUCUUUUUUGACCAAAAAAUGCCAAAUGUGGUUUUCAUACUUUUAAUUUGAGCUUGGUCCUUUUGACAUUAUUGAGUAACAGGUAGGGGUGGCAUGGUAAUAAUUUAAGGUGGUUUUGUGCAUUUGGGGACAGUGAAAGUCAUCACUGUUUGUACUUAAGACUAAAAUUAUUGUUAAAUGAUUUUCUUUGGACUGAAUGUUGCAACCUUAAAGAUUACUGAAAUUUUCAACCUGUUUUAGCAGAACUAAAGUGAACAUAUCGUACAUCAACAGGUUUGUCAGCAGGUAAAAGUGAAACUGACCUCCCUCUACUGCUUGCUUAUGUGCAAGGACUGAGACCAGUGGAUUAGCGCUGCUUCAUCAGCUACAUAUAAUGUCUCCAGUGCCCUGAAAAUAAAUUCUAUAGCUUCUUUUAAAGGAGGACAAUAUAUCUGAGGAAGCAAUGUAAGAAUGGGCAUUACAUAUCUGCACAAAAGGCUGUAAAUUGUGGUUUUGUUACAUGUGCUUUUGUGUUAUUGAAACCUGUUAUUUGAUUUGCUGAUCUGACCAUUUUUGGUCACAUGACUAUUCAGCACACAGAGUGCAGAGUGGCCAGCAUGGAUGCAGAUGAGCAGGGGGCACAAGGUCUACUAUGUAGGAUUAUUUUGGGAUAGGGUUACCAGUGAGCCACCCUGAUAGCAGAGUUAACAUUUUUACUCUUAUAGCACAAUCAUGAUGACUCUUCUCACUAGCACCAGGAGUCCUGACUCUUAUGACAACAAAAUUUGUCAAGUUUCUCAUGACCAAAUGUGAUUUUAGUGUAAAAAAAACAUGGCAGAGAGAAGGAGAAGUUAUUUCUUUUUAAUGCCUCCUCUUGUUGAUUUGGUCUGGUGUGUUUUACUGAGAUGUUGUUAGAUGAACACCAGCUGUUUCUAAAAUUGCAUGCGGCUAAAUUAAGCUUCAACCCCUUUUCCUCAUGCCGUGUACUGUUCCCCUUUGCACAGCCUACAUCAGCUUUAAUACUACAUUUGGUGAUUGGACCUCAUACUAAAAAUGGAAACCAGAACACUUCAAAUACCAAAAGUCGGUCAUGCGCCUACUGAUUCUCUAUUUUUAAGCAGGAUCUUUAAAUACUGAUUAGCUGGCUCUUGAAUGCAGGUUUAGGUUUGCUUAGCUAACAGCUACAUGGCUGCAUUUCAAAUUAAGAGUUAAAAAUGCACAUUUACAUUACGUGGGAAAAGGCAGACUGCAUCCUGCUACCUGCCAAGCCUUUCUACUCAAUCUCUUCCCUCUCCCAAACUUAUAUAACUCCAGCUAGAAUGAACCUCAACCUUCAUAAACUCAAGUGUCAUACCAAUUAAAGUCUGAUAUUUUGAGGAGUUGUACUUUAAUGCAUACCCUUUUUUUGUCGCUCUGGUCUCAAAUAUGGAACCUACUGUAGAGCAGGUGUCUAGGGUCAAAAGUUUUACCUGUUUCUCGUUCUAUUCAAAUGAUUGCAGGGUGUGAUAUAUAUGUGUGUCGCUCUUAUGCAGACAGCCUAUUAGUGGGACAAAAGCUCCUGUUUCCCUUUUCUUUUGAAAGAGAUCAGUGGAUUUGCACAAAGACAACCCAAUUUAGACAUCUCUAACAAAGCUCCCCCCUUCUUCCUCCCUCUCCUCUCCGCCUCUCUCUCUGUCUCUGCUACACAUACAUUCACACAUUUGCAUGCUCUUUCAGAAAGUAGCGGUUCUCAUCCAAAAAGCUCAAGCUGUGAAAGCUGGGGGAUUGCGGAGGCUAGUGACUGAAGGGACAGAAUUAGCGGGAAACUGAGGGAGUGACAAAAAGAGGUGUGUACGGUUGAGGAAGGUCUCCUGAAGAAGCUUAAGUCCACCCUGUUUGAAAGCGCUUUGAUCUCGCUCUGAAGCCGCUCAGCCAAGAGUUAACACUGCUGCUUUAUUAAGGACCUCUAUUUCUCGACUCUGCUCUCACUUCUGUCAACACUUUUUUUUUUAUUUUCAGGGAUCAAAUUAGCAAUUCAAAUGAAGGCUAUUUGGAUAUGCUCGCCCAGCUUCCUCCCCUUGGCUUUCCAGGCAAUUUGACAAUAUUUUUGUUAAGCCCCAUUUCCUCCUAACGAAACUGUAGCAACGGAGGAAAGGGAGGAGAUGUGGGGAGAGAGGGGAGGGCUGGCCAUGGAGGAGGAGGACGGGUAGGGAGGGGGAGCAUAUGCAGCGAGUCUAAGUGUGGGUGUGGAAGGUCAAAUAGGAGAUAGAGUGGUCCUUGCCAUUUGGCAUGCUCCCUGUGCUAAGCUAAUAUGAGGGAUAAUGACGGUUAUUGGAAUAAUAUGGUCCCGUUUAGAGAUGAAAGGUUUAAAUUGAUUCAGGGAUUAUAAAAUGGAGCCACCCUGCCACUAGAUGAUGAGCCUAUUUUAUAGUAGCUGGCUAAUCUGAGGGACACCCAGUAACCUUGAACUGUCAAACUGCUGUUACACUUAGUCAGCAUAGAUCUUUUCUAUAUCCAGGUACAUCUUUGGAGUUUAGGUGAUGCGAAGGAGAUAUGGCAAUGAUCAACAGAGCAGAGCUGAGGAUGCAGACAUGCUCCUGUCUAGUGCUUCAUAGACUGCAGUCAUGAAGCCUUAAAAUUUUUUCAUUGUAGCUUUUGUGCCCUUAAUUAUGCCAAAAUUACUGUAAUUUAAAAAGUCAAAUAUGAAUAAAAAGAGCUGUUCACAAAUGUCAGAAAAUGAGAAAGUAGCAUUUCAACAAAAAAAAAAAAACUGUGAUAUAGUGAAAUAAAAUAUGGCAUUUCAAGAUGGGUCUUAAUAGGAAUUGGCUCAUUUUGAGAACUAGUUUCAAGUGGUCAUUUUAGGAACUGCAGUCCUUGGUGCCCAAACAUUUAGGUUGCCAUUUGCAAUCUGUGCUUUGCUCAGCACAUAUCGCCCUGCUAAAAGUAGGGCUGGGCAUCAUGUGCUGAAAAACAAAUCUCUGGAUCGAUCACGCAAUUUUUAUUGACUUUCUUUUUCCCAAAAAUUAAAACCACUCAUAGUAAAAACAUAACUCUAAACACUGUGUUUUGUCCAAGCACCAUAGCACAUUUCAGCUCCUUGCCUCUCUUAAAGUAUCCACCAAAUCUAUUUGCAUCGUAGCCCACAUCAAACACUAAUCAAGCCGAAACACAGAAGACCAACUUAAACAUGGAGUCAAACAUGGAGAUAGUAAAUACAGAAUCCUGAUUGUUUACUGGAGCGUAUCGACAAGAUAUACUCUCUAAUAACAGAUAUAUUAUGAAUGAACAAAUACCAAAAAAAACAUCCAUUUGCCUGCAGGUAACAGUACAACAAAAUAUAACACAAGUAUUUUGAUAUAUUGAAUACUUUAAACUUUCAUAAAUUAAACUUCAUACACUUUAUAAACUCACCAGUAGUAAAAGCACAAAAGCCAUAGAAAAACAUUCAAAUGUGCAGUGAAUCAGCCACGGAAAAACACUGUAGCUUGUUGUUAGCAUGUUAUUCUUCGCAUACACUUAAAUUAUUGAGCAAGCAAACAAGCUUCUACUGAGGCCCACUGAAUGAGGCAAACUGUGGAGCUGAUGGUUCACCAACAAGGGCGGAAUUUUUUGCUUUUUUUUUUACUGUUGAGAAUUGAUAGACCUUGUUGUAAGGCUGUUACCAAUACCAAUGUUUAAAUCAGCCAACUAUGCCAGCUGUUUCUCUUCAGCUGUGAUGGUUAGUUUUUUAGUAUUUUCCUGUGACUUUUCUAAAUUUAAUAUGCUCCUAAUUUUACUUUUUCAAAUCACCACCCUCAAAAGCUCUGUUUCAACCAAAAAUAGUGGUUUAAACUGAGAAAAAAAGCUCCAACACCUGCUGUAAACCACCUACAUACAGACAGUAGUCAAAGCAAGAGGCCAGACAGUGAACAAAGUGGAUAAUUGAGCUGCUUUAGAGCCACAUAUGUCCUGGUGGAGCAGUUACAGACCAGCAACAGAGCUAAAAGGAUGCUGAAUAUUUGAUUGGAUUGGAUAAUCCUAAUGGUCCUUGGGGGCAGCUUGGUUAGCAACAGAAGAGGACACAUGCAAUACACAUCAUGAAAAAACAGGAAGACUGAAAUAAUGUACAAAUCAUGCAUACAUUUAAAUAAAUAAAACCCUUGGAUGCAAUCAUAAGAGGCAUGCAAUCUAAGAUCCAGUGGCAACGAUGCUUAUUUAAACACCCAAUGGCAGGUGAAUAAAAAUGUAGACCUAUAAUAUCAGUCUGAUUUGGCUUUUGCAGUUUAAAUAUACCUCGGAUGUCUCCGCAGCAGUGAUGGGUGUAAAUAUUGGCAAACACUGGGCUCACAUUUGUCUGGCCUAAAUGGUAAAUAUUUGUGUGAGGGUGGUAGCCUACAAACAGGGGAGUAAUGGAAAAUAAUUGUCUUUAAAACAUCACAUAUUGGAACCAUAUGUAUAGGGAUCCUACGCAAGUAUGGAAAGUAUGGAAAAAUAUGAAAAUAAAUUUGAACAAUUUCCAGGUCUUAAAACGUAUGGAAAAUGAAAAAUAAAGUAUUGAAAAAUAUUUGUUUCCAGACUAUUACCGCUGUUCUAAAAUACUGUUUUCUAAAAUAGAGAAGUAUUUUCAAAAAUACUUCCAAAAAGUAGGGUAUGGAAAAGUUUUAUAUCUUUUGUAUUGUUUUCUGUAUAAUAUGGACUACUGGUUCUGAAAUAAAGCUUUACAUUACAUUACAUUAUGGAAAUUACAACUGUGUAGAAACCCCGUAUGUAGAACAACUGAGAAAAUGGGGGGUAAGUUUUAUGAGAAAACAGAGGUAUGAGGUAUGAGUGAUGACGAUGCAUGAUAAAGAAUAAUGUAAAUAAACUACUAAACACUUUGUUUUUACUGCUUACAUGUUACACUGCAAACCUCUUGCCCUUUAGUGGGAAUAAAAUUAACUACACCCCUCUCAGCUCCAACAUAUCUGCCAAUCACUCCCGCUGGGUAAACCUCAGUAAUAAGGCCGGUCCAGAGAGAGAGAGUGAUGGGGGCAGCAGGAAGAUCCCAUGAAAGGAGAAGCUGCACUACAAUAGCUGUAAACACUGAUUAAAGGUCCUUAUAGAGAGUCAAACAGCAACCCAAGGAAAUGCACACACAUUUAUCAUGCAUGGGCUUGUAGCCUUGGAAUUAACCCACACAGAUAAAUCUGUGUUAAAGGAGUAUGAAGACAGACUUGAAAUUACACUACGCCUCUGGUUCUUAAAGCAUCUUGAAGAGGACAUGAGGGUAAAAUUGAAUUUUAUUUUUCUGCCUCUCUGUGUGAGAUUUGGGGGAAAUAUGACAACAACAGCUAAUGAGGCUAGUGAUCUAUCUCCCUCCUGGGUGGGCCUCUAUCCUCAGAUCAGCUGCCGGAGCCAAAAACGUGGCCCUGUUGGCACGGCCUGUCUGGUUUUAGUCCAUCGGAUUUAUUUUUUGCAGUGUUAUCCAAAGCAAACAGAGGGCUGUGGGUGGAAAUGACAAUCAAACACUAAUUCAAUAUGUCACCGUCCUGUCAAUCAGGUUGGACUGAUUAGCGUUGCUUGUUCUCUUAAAUGUGUUGUAUCACUUCCUUGCCAAAAUAUAAUGCGAUCCUUUCAUGCGUGUUGGGCCUGGGCUGUGGCGCAGUGCUAAGUCAGCGCUCUAGUUAAUAAGUCCUUUUCAUUAAACAAGCGUUCAUUAAAGAUUCAUUCAUUCACUCAUCCUCAUUUGCAUUUUCUCAUCAUAAAAGCAUUCAUGAAACAUUCAUUUGUUCACUUGUUCUCAUUUGCACGCUUUCCAAUGCAUUCUUCAAGGAAAUGAAUAUGAGGAGAGUGGAAGAUGGAGGCCGAAGAGGAGGAGGAGGAGGAGGAGGGGGAGGAGGAGGAGGAGGAGGAGGGCAGCGAGGGGGCAGAGGAGAUAGUUAUUACUCCAUUUGAACAAUCUGUCCUGUAAAUGAAAAUAGAAAUUAGAUUAUGUUCCCUCUCAUCGUUAUGUAGAGGCACUGGCCAUGUUAAAAAAAAAACUCUUUUGCACAAUCGAGGGCAUGAUAUGAAAACAAAUCACUGCUGAUAUGAAAGCAUGCUCAGAUAGGAACUCAUUCCUGGUUGAAUAACAUACCUGUGAGAGCAAAUGACAUCCCAUUUUGAGGCUGAUGGGACUGGAUAACAGUCACACGUUCUGUGCAGCUGCCCAUCUCACCACCGUCUACAUAAUAAAACCCAUAACAAUAUGCACCAAGAUCACGUCUAUGACAUUACAUCCUAUCUUUUAUUUCCUCCUCAUUUGAUCCAUAUUGUAUGACCGAGCUCCUCCCCACAUGCUUUUUCCCUCCCCUUGCACAGGCUGCACAUCAAAGACUUAUUCAAUAAAUCCUCUGUGAUAUAAAGCAGCUUUGCUCUACACAACAGUGCUCUGGGUGCAACUCCCACUCCGUACAGUAUAGUUUGUGUAUGUACGUGUGAAUGUGAUGAACUGAAUUCAGAUGAUGCAGCAGUGAAAGAUCAUCGUCUUACGUCUCCAACCCUGCAAGCAUCCUCCAUCCUCUCUUCAUUACCUUCUCCUCCCUUCCUUCUAACUUGUGCCGUCAGGGGAGACAUCAAUCUGAGUGACAGCUUGUGUGAUCCUCCUUCCGGGCUUGGUGGGAGAAGGAGCACUGUCAACAUAAAUAUCCUUCCAGGGUCCGCAGCGGACAUGGAGCAGCCGGGGCCACCAUGAAUCUUUAUCCAUUAUCACAGGCGCAGAAACAUGUGACCAUCAGUGCCGAAGACCAAACCAGCACCCUGAAACCCUCAACUCUGAAAUCAAUUUGAUCAAAACAGACAGUUCAUCGCCAGUUCCUGAUUGUUUGCCCAUUUUUAUUUCUGCAUGGGCAAAAAACAUUUACAGUUCACACAAACACACAAAAUGAUGGUAAGUGAACAUUUAGGGUAUUUAACUUUGGUUAGAACUUUCACUACAACAAAGUCAAACCCCAUUUAAUAUACUUUAUCAGCAACCUCUUUCACGCAUGAUGUUUAAGAUAUGGUAACAUCUAAAAGUACCUCAACAUACACCACCAAUUGGUGAAAAUGGUAUGCUGGCAGGGGAGUGACAAAACACACAGCACUCCAAAUAAGACUAGGUAUGAUAUGGUACGAUGCAACACGAUACAAUAUGAUCAUAGACUGUAUAUAGUAUUGACAAAUUGGUUCCGCCUUCCACCAGUAUACAGAUUUGAAGCCAAAAAGCUCCCAGUAAUUCCGCAUUUUUUCUCCACUUCCUGAAACCACCACUUGCGCAGUAGCGUUGUAGGCAUUUGGCGGGAGAGUCGAUGAUGCUCGGCUCAAACAGCGUAUCCCCC